GAUGAAGAACGUAGCGAAAUGCGAUAAGUAAUGUGAAUUGCAGAAUUCAGUGAAUCAUCGAAUCUUUGAACGCACAUUGCGCCCGCCAGUAUUCUGGCGGGCAUGCCUGUUCGAGCGUCAUUUCAGCCAUCAAGCCCCCGGCUUGUGUUGGGGACCUGCGGCUGCCGCAGGCCCUGAAAAGCAGUGGCGGGCUCGCUGUCACACCGAGCGUAGUAGAUUUCAUCUCGCUCAGGGCGUGCUGCGGGUUCCGGCCGUUAAACCACCUUCAUAACCCAAGGUUGACCUCGGAUCAGGUAGGAAGACCCGCUGAACUUAAGCAUAUCAAUAAGCGGAGGA
rnacentral:misc_RNA from 1 species